UUUAAAUGCAUGUGCUGUCACAGUCUGCAAGUCCAGUGCAAUGGUACAAUAACUACACACUGUACAUGUAGUCCUAAACUCCAAGUGUUAACUGGGUGUGGCUGGAAAAAGCCUAGCAUGUGUGGCAGGCGUAUCUCUAAGGCAUUCACUUGGUCAAUGAGGAUCUGAAGAUACGCAUCCGCCUCUGCUAGUUUCUUAUCAAAGUCUUUAACCGUUGGCUUAGGACGACGUGAUGAGGCGCCAAACUGCAGAAGGAAAAAGUCCUUCCAGUGUAGCUGUAGCAGUAAUUACAUGAUGACCUAGUUAAAGCGCACUCCUGUUCCAGGCUGGUACAGCAUGACGUUUCAG